ACUUGGUGAUGUGGGCAUUUACCCAAAAGAUCCCUAAAUCGUUCCCAAGUAUUGAAAAAUUGUUCCCCAUCUAUUUGUGAAAAAGUGGUGAUUGCCUUUCUCAACU